rnacentral:lncRNA from 1 species
UAUUCUGGUUUACGACCGUAUCUGUCUUUCGAACGAAUGUAUCUAUUCGAAUGUAUUCGAAAAUGGUAUUCUUGUUUUCGUUCGUAUCCGUAUCGACCACGAUUCGUAUGCGAAAAAGUGUUGCCGUAUCAGCACUCUUUCGAACCAAUUCUAAGCUGUCAAAAAAAGUAAACAGAAUGUUUUUUUCUUUUAUUUGCCAUUACUCAAAACUUCGUCGUUUGUGGUUCCUGAAUAACAUUGUGGCCGGAGAUCCGGAUUUUUAGGCAUUUAAGUGAUUGAACGGGAUGGAAACAUUGAUGCUGGUCGCUGUGGGAGACGAGGAUGAGAUGGAGCAUAGGAGACGGCUAUGAUCCAAUUUCCGGGAGCAGAUCAAUGUUGUUGAAAUGCCUGAUUCAGAGUUUACCAACAACUUUCAUUCAAUUAGGCGGCAUAUCAGCCAACCUUGAAGAAAUCAAGGAUAAAUUCUUCCUCGAAAACAAGUGGGUCUCAAUGGUGCACGGGCCUGUUGAUUCUUUACGUUUUGAUGCGGGAAAGGGCUUCGUUCUGGAAAGAGAAAAUUCCCAAUGGUGGAGAAGGUUCAGAUGUCGGGCGAAAAAAUACGCCGGACCUCCUCCAGCGGUUAUUGACUGUCCUCUUCCGGAAAACACUACUUGAUUUAAGCCUAGGAGUGCCUUUGGCGUCGAAACAAAACGAGGAGUAUUGGCAGACACCCUUGAUGUUUCAUGGUGAAAUUAUGGACAUAAAUUAUGACAAAAUACAAAAUAAUUAAAUAAGGGUAGUACAUCACAAAA